rnacentral:sRNA from 1 species
AACGCAGCGAAAUGCGAUAAGUAAUGUGAAUUGCAGAAUUCAGUGAAUCAUCGAAUCUUUGAACGCACAUUGCGCCCCUUGGUAUUCCGGGGGGCAUGCCUGUUCGAGCGUCAUUAUCACCCCUCAAGCUCAGCUUGGUGUUGGGGCCUGCCCGUCACAGGGCAGCCCUUAAAAGCAGUGGCGGUGCCAUCUGGCUCUACGCGUAGUAAUACUCCUCGCGACAGAGUCCUGGUGGUGUCCUGCCAGAACCCCAAAUUUUUUCAUGAUUGACCUCGGAUCAGGUAGGGAUACCCGCUGAACUUAAGCAUAUCAAUAAGCGGAGGAAAAGAAACCAACAGGGAUUGCCUCAGUAACGGCGAGUGAAGCGGCAAAAGCUCAAAUUUGAAAUCUGGCUCUUUCAGGGUCCGAGUUGUAAUUUGUAGAAGAUGCUUUGGGUGUGGCUCUGGUUUAAGUUCUUUGGAAUAUUACAUCAUAGAGGGUGAGAAUCCCGUAUGUGACCAGUCGCCGCGCCCGUGUAAAGCUCUUUCAACGAGUCGAGUUGUUUGGGAAU